GGGGCGUCCUGGUGGAUUCUUUUUGGACUUGUGAAUCUUUGGAAGGAAAUAAAAUGUUACAAUCCAAGGGAAUUCCUGGAAUAAAAAAGAGAAAACUUGACUACUAAUGAUAUCCUUUUGUUUUGCCUCUGUCAAAAGAAGUUGUAGAUUAAGGCUUAGCAUCUGUUUGUAGAAGUGUGUCCAUGAUUAACCAAUACCGGACAUCAGGAAACAUGAUGGGCUUGCUAAACGGUCGUUGAAGGAGUUAGCAUAACAGUGGCUUUGAGGGAUUCUUUACCAGCCCCAGGUAGUUGCAGUUGUUUAUGUUGCCACUGCGCCCGGAGAAGUCCUCCCUCUCUUCUGCUGCACGCACCUCCGAUCUUCCUCCCGAGGCUGGAAAGAUAAUGUUGCAGCAUGCACUUCCAGCUUUGCCCAUAAACAUGUGAAAAUGUCCUCCAACCUUGCUAGGAAACUUUCCAUGAGGCGAUACUGCGGUAGUGAAGGGCCUUGCAUGCGUGAAAGUGAAAAGCCGCCAUCUUGACAAGUACUGCGUCAUGUAGAAGCAAGUAGAGAUGGUCAGCCAAAUGUAGGAAAGAUAUGCUGAUCCAGUGGGGACCGGGAUAACCUCUGCCAGUCUGGGGGGCGGGAGGCGGGGACAGCUAGAGAAAGGGAGAGUGGUGAUUUAUGGCUUAAGUCUGCUGCCGAUUGAUUUGUUGGUGUGCCCCCAACUAUGGAGCACCUUAGAUUUAGGUUUCCAGCUCGGCAAUCCAAGAAACUACGUGGUUUGCAGGAGCUUGUGUGGGACAUGUCUU